rnacentral:rRNA from 1 species
GAUGAACGCUGGCGGCGUGCCUAACACAUGCAAGUCGAGCGAGAAACCAUCGAUUGAAACUUCGGUAGAUAUUGAAGGCGGAAAGCGGCGGACGGGUGAGUAACGCGUAGGCAACCUGCCCUUUGCAGAGGGAUAGCAACGGGAAACUGUUAUUAAAACCUCAUAAUACCGACAUGUCAAAUGACAAGACGGUCAAAGAUUUAUCGGCAAAGGAUGGGCCUGCGUCUGAUUAGUUAGUUGGUAGGGUAACGGCCUACCAAGGCAGCGAUCAGUAGCCGACCUGAGAGGGUGAUCGGCCACAUUGGAACUGAGACACGGUCCAAACUCCUACGGGAGGCAGCAGUGGGGAAUAUUGCACAAUGGGCGAAAGCCUGAUGCAGCAACGCCGCGUGAAGGAUGAAGGCCCCAGGGUCGUAAAGCUCUGUCGGGGGGGAAGAAGUUCUGACGGUACCCCCCAAGAAAGCACCGGCUAACUCCGUGCCAGCAGCCGCGGUAAUGUGACU